UACGGAGGAUCCAAGCGUUAUCCGGAUUUAUUGGGUUUAAAGGGUGCGUAGGCGGCCCGGUAAGUCAGUGGUGAAAGCCUCCAGCUCAACUGGAGAACUGCCAUUGAUACUGUCGGGCUUGAGUACAGACGAGGUUGGCGGAAUUGAUUGUGUAGCGGUGAAAUGCAUAGAUACAAUCAAGAACUCCGAUUGCGUAGGCAGCUAACUAGGCUGUAACUGACGCUGAGGCACGAAAGCGUGGGGAGCGAACAGG
rnacentral:rRNA from 1 species